rnacentral:lncRNA from 1 species
GAAAUGGAGACACUGAAGUCAGGGUAAUGGCUCAUACCUGUCAUCCUGUUGUGUGGAGGCAGAGGCUGCACAGUGAACUCCAGCCUGCACUGUCCCUCAGGAAGGACGAAGUCAUCCGGAAGCGUCUUCUGAUAGAUGGAGACGGUGCUGGAGAUGAUCGGAGAAUUAAUCUCCUAGUGAAAAGCUUCAUUAAAUGGUGUAACUCUGGAU